UCGAGAAUUGAAAUACCAUUGCUUCGCAUUCGAGCAUAAUGAUUCAAAAUAUGGAUAGUGAGCAUGCAAUUUACUAUUGUUUUAGCAAUGAUUAUAUCAACAACAUCAUAGAACAUCAGUACCAAUUCAAUCGAGGGGAUCUGGCCCAGUAUUAUGUAUCCUUUCUAAGGUUAUUUGUGUGCUCUUUUAAAUAAUUUCUGUUUGGAAACUUGGGCCUUCUUUUUGUUCAUUUGUGAUAAGCCAAGUGGUUUUGCUGGUUAAUUUCUGUUAUAACAAUUUCUUGUUAGUUAGCUCUUAAGUUGUAAUUAUCAGCUUACUCUUUAUUGUUACAACCUUCUCUAAAAGAAAGGGGCUGGUCUCAGAAGUUCAGUACAUUUGCAAAAACUUCUGAGACCCAUUCUUGAUUCUUUCA